rnacentral:rRNA from 1 species
CCUACGGGGGCUGCAGUGGGGAAUAUUGGACAAUGGGCGAAAGCCUGAUCCAGCCAUGCCUCGUGUGUGAAGAAGGCCUUCGGGUUGUAAAGCACUUUCAGUGGGGAAGAAAGCCUUGGGGCUAAUACCCUCGAGGAAGGACAUCACCCACAGAAGAAGCACCGGCUAACUCCGUGCCAGCAGCCGCGGUAAUACGGAGGGUGCGAGCGUUAAUCGGAAUUACUGGGCGUAAAGCGCGCGUAGGCGGUCUGAUAAGCCGGUUGUGAAAGCCCCGGGCUCAACCUGGGAACGGCAUCCGGAACUGUCAGGCUAGAGUGCAGGAGAGGAAGGUAGAAUUCCCGGUGUAGCGGUGAAAUGCGUAGAGAUCGGGAGGAAUACCAGUGGCGAAGGCGGCCUUCUGGACUGACACUGACGCUGAGGUGCGAAAGCGUGGGUAGCAAACAGGAUUAGAUACCCGAGUAGUC